rnacentral:sRNA from 1 species
AGAAUUCGAGGGGGUGGGGCUUUGCCCGGACAGAGGAUCUCCUCGCUGGCCUACUCUCUCCUCCCGUACGGCGCCGGAAUCCCAGCUCCACUUACCAGGCCGCGGCUACCCUGCCGUCCCCCCCGACUCCCGCCACCCCGCUCUCCCAGGCUCUUCAGGAUCCAAGUCUGUAGGCCCUUUAAGGGGUCUAAUUGCCGUUUGCGGGGCCCUGGGACUUUGAUCCCAGACAGCGAGGAUCCGGAUGGCUUCCGUGCGGAUCCGAGAGGCCAAGGAGGGAGACUGUGGAGAUAUCCUGAGGCUGAUUCGGGUGAAGACUGCGGGCCGGAGCUAGCCGAAUUCGAAAAACUCUCGGAUCAGGUGAAGAUCAGUGAAGAAGCCCUGAGAGCAGAUGGCUUUGGAGACAAUCCUUUCUAUCACUGUUUGGUAGCAGAGAUUCUUCCAGCGCCCGGGAAGCUACUGGGUCAAGGGAUUGGUUCCAAAAUAAUCAAAAAGGUGGCUGAGGUGGCCUUGGAUAAGGGCUGCUCCCAAUUCCGCCUGGCCGUCCUGGACUGGAACCAGAGGGCCAUGGACUUGUACAAGGCC